CGUGUCGUGAGAUGUUGGGUUAAGUCCCGUAGCGAGCGCAACCCUUGUCCUUAGUUACCAGCACGUUAUGGUGGGCACUCUAAGGAGACUGCCGGUGACAAACCGGAGGAAGGUGGGGAUGACGUCAAGUCAUCAUGGCCCUUACGGCCUGGGCUACACACGUGCUACAAUGGUCGGUACAGAGGGUUGCCAAGCCGCGAGGUGGAGCUAAUCUCACAAAACCGAUCGUAGUCCGGAUCGCAGUCUGCAACUCGACUGCGUGAAGUCGGAAUCGCUAGUAAUCGCGAAUCAGAAUGUCGCGGUGAAUACGUUCCCGGGCCUUGUACACACCGCCCGUCACACCAUGGGAGUGGGUUGCACCAGAAGUAGCUAGUCUAACCUUCGGGAGGACGGUUACCACGGUGUGAUUCAUGACUGGGGU
rnacentral:rRNA from 1 species